GAGCACACAAGAGAGCGAAAGGAGGGAGAGAACUCAGCAUUGCCACUGCAGGAGCCUGUCACUGAGACAAGGACACGACAAACAGAGAAGCAGACAAAGAAUCUGCCAUGGACAUGUCUGAACACUGGAGGGACGAUGCAGGGCGUCUCUCUCUAGCAGACAGCCCUGAUAACUGGGCAUGGGACGUCAGCUGGCCCCCUAAGCUCCUCAGAGACUCCUUCAGGGCCUCAAGCCCCCUCUCACUGGCCGACCUGGAGGUGUGGGGGAGCAGGCCGCUCCGCAGACCUCAGAACUCAGCAUGGAGUUUUGCCGGGGACUUUCCUGCCCUGGGGGGCCAUCAGGCCAAAGUCAGCACUAGCUCCUUAGGCGGCCAUGGCAGGCUGCAGUAUAAAGACCCCUCUGGGAUGAGACGGUGGCAGUCCGCGUCACGCCUGGCUCCUGACGGUGCCCCGCGCAUCUCCGUGCCCACUGUGGGGGCAGAGCUGCGGACUGCCCUGGAGGAGAGCGGGCACCGGCGGGCAGAGCUGGUGGACCGUCUGCGGGAGGCCCAGAGGCGCCUGGACGCCCAGACUGACCAGCUGAAGGCCAAGGACUCAGAGCUACAGCACAGCCUGAACGCCGCACAGCGCAUGAAGCUCCAACAGAAGCAGCAGGCCGGGGCGUUGAGUGCUCUCGAGCAGGAGAAAGACAUGGCUGAACUGAGCCGCUUUGAGGAGAGCCGUCGCCGUGGAGAACUACAGGACAAGGUUCUGCAGUUGGAGUUGGACAUGUUGAAGCUGAAGUCUACGCUGGGGAGGGGGGGCUUGGCCGAACCCAGACCCCUCACAGCGAACGCCACACUGAGCAGAACUCUGCCGGUGACCCAGGAGGACUUUCACAAGGAGGAGCAGCGGCAUGCGGAGAGGGAGCUGAGCAGACUGAAGGAGGCUCUGGAGGAGGCUGAGCGCAGAGCUGAGGAUCUGGAGCACGACCAGCAACACACACUCCAGAAGCUCCACGCAGCUAAAGAGGGCCAGCUGAGUGCCCUGAGGCAGACGGAGGACCUGAACCAGAGACUGGGCCGGUCCACGAAGGCCCAGUCGGAGCUGGAGGACCACCUGAGUGAUGCCCGGAGCCGAGUGGGUCAGCUGGAGCUGGUAAGGACA
rnacentral:lncRNA from 1 species